rnacentral:lncRNA from 1 species
AAGAAAUAAAAAUAUUUUUUUCUUUGAAUUAAAUGGUUCAAGUCCUUACCGACAUUUCAAGAAUCAAGAUAUAUAUUUAGGCGUUUUUAAUUAUUUUUUACGUACAAAUAUACAAUCUAUUUAUAACGUUACUAAAAUUUUAAUUUCACCUUAAUUAUUUAUUCAAUUAUUUUACUUGCUUAUAUCAGCAAAUAGGAGGCUCGAUCCAAAGUUGACCCUCACCUUCAAAAAAAAAAAAAAAAGAAU